rnacentral:rRNA from 1 species
UACGGAGGGUGUAAGCGUUAUCCGGAUUCACUGGGUUUAAAGGGUGCGUAGGCGGGCAGGUAAGUCCGUGGUGAAAUCUCUGAGCUUAACUCAGAAACUGCCAUGGAUACUAUUUGUCUUGAAUAUUGUGGAGGUGAGCGGAAUAUGUCAUGUAGCGGUGAAAUGCUUAGAUAUGACAUAGAACACCCAUUGCGAAGGCAGCUCACUACACAAUGAUUGACGCUGAGGCACGAAAGCGUGGGGAGCAAACAGG